GCAUAUUCCCUAAGACCAGCGUGUAAUUGCAUUGCAUUAAAUGUACCAAUGCAACCUCUCAACCUCAUGUCCUUCCCAAUGGUCCACGUUACAAAUAAUGGACUGCAAAAUGGAAUUAAACAAUUAAUAGAAACUUAAAGAGGGUAAAGGCAGGCGAGAAUAACAUUGGACAGAAAAGAGGGAGAGAAAGAGCAGCUGAUGGCGCAGCCAUGUAAGAGAAGGAUGACGCUAUAUGCAAGAAAAAGAUAGUAAUCUGAAAAAAAGGUGCAAAAAGAUAUUAAAAAUGUAACACAA